rnacentral:rRNA from 1 species
CCUACGGGAGGCUGCAGUGGGGAAUAUUGCGCAAUGGGCGAAAGCCUGACGCAGCGACGCCGCGUGAGGGAUGAAGGUCUUUGGAUCGUAAACCUCCGUUAGCAGGGAAGAAAGGUCACUGUGCUAAUCAGCAGUGAAUUGACGGUACCUGCAAAGGAAGCAUCGGCUAACUCCGUCCCAGCAGCCGCGGUAAUACGGAGGGUGCGAGCGGUAAUUGGAAUGACUGGGCGUAAAGGGCUCGUAGGCGGUAUGUCAAGUCAAGGGUGAAAUCCCCGCGCUCAACGUGUGAACUGCCGUUGAAACUGGCAGACUGGAGUGUGUGAGAGGAUAGUGGAAUUCCAGGUGUAGGAGUGAAAUCCGUAGAUAUCUGGAGGAACAUCAGUGGCGAAGGCGACUAUCUGGCACAUAACUGACGCUGAGGAGCGAAAGCGUGGGUAGCAAACAGGAUUAGAUACCCCAGUAGUC